rfam:Ovis aries breed Texel chromosome 2, whole genome shotgun sequence.
UCCCUGGUGGCUGAAAUAUUAAAGAAUCUGCCUGCAGUGCAGGAGACCUGGGUUUGAUCCCUGGGCCUGGGAG